rnacentral:rRNA from 1 species
GGGGCGUUUGCCUCGCUGAAAGAUGAGCCUGCGUAUGAUUAGCUAGUUGGUAGGGUAAUGGCUUACCAAGGCGACGAUCAUUAGCCGGCCUGAGAGGGUGACCGGCCACAUUGGGACUGAGACACGGCCCAGACUCCUACGGGAGGCAGCAGCUAAGAAUCUUCCGCAAUGGACGAAAGUCUGACGGAGCGACGCCGCGUGUGCGAAGAAUGUCGAGAGAUUGUAAAGCACUUUUAUAUGUGAGGAAUAACAGUAUCAGGAAAUGGGUAUUGGAUGACGUUAGCAUAUGAAUAAGCUCCGGCCAAUUACGUGCCAGCAGCCGCGGUAACACGUAAGGAGCGAGCGUUGUUCGGAAUUAUUGGGCGUAAAGGGCAUGUAGGCGGUUAUGUAAGUCCGAUGUGAAAGCACACUGCUCAACAGUGAUGUUGCGUUGGAAACUGUAUGACUAGAAUCCGAGAGGGGUAAGUGGAAUUCCUAGUGUAGGGGUGAAAUCUGUUGAUAUUAGGAAGAACACCAGAGGCGAAGGCGACUUGCUGGCUCUGGAUUGACGCUGAGGUGCGAAAGCGUAGGUAGCGAACAGGAUUAGAUACCCUGGUAGUCUACGCCGUAAACGAUGUACACUUGGUGUCUGGAACAUGAGUUCUAGGUGCCGUAGCUAACGCGUUAAGUGUACCGCCUGGGGAGUAUGCCGGCAACGGUGAAACUCAAAGGAAUUGACGGGGGCCCGCACAAGCGGUGGAGCAUGUGGUUUAAUUCGAUACGCGAGAAACCUUACCAGGGCUUGACAUAUACAGGACGACAUUAGAGAUAAUGUUUCCUCUUCGGAGGCCUGUAUACAGGUGCUGCAUGGUUGUCGUCAGCUCGUGCCGUGAGGUGUUGGGUUAAGUCCCGCAACGAGCGCAACCCCUGUUGUAUGUUACCAUCAUUAAGUUGGGGACUCAUGCAAGACUGCCGGUGACAAACCGGAGGAAGGUGGGGAUGACGUCAAAUCAUCAUGGCCCUUAUGUCCUGGGCUACACACGUGCUACAAUGGCCGGUACAGAGUGAUGCGAAGCAGUGAUGUGGAGCAAAACGCUUAAAGCCGGUCUCAGUUCGGAUUGGAGUCUGAAACUCGACUCCAUGAAGGUGGAAUCGCUAGUAAUCGCGCAUCAGCAUGGCGCGGUGAAUACGUUCCCGGGCCUUGUACACACCGCCCAUCACACCACCCGAGUCGGGGGUACCCGAAGUCAGUAGACUAACCU